rnacentral:rRNA from 1 species
UCUGAAUCUGCGNACGGCUCCGCAAACCAGUUGUAGACUACAGCAAGCAAGCACGGGGGGUUGGCCUUCACGGGUCGGUCCCUCGGGCGAUAUGGAUAACCCUGGUAAUUCUGAGGCUAAUACUAGAACGUAACCCCUGGUUGACUGAGCCCUCGCCCUCGGGUGGAGAUACUUGGGAGGCUGGGAAGCGUGCGAGUACUAAUGCGAAUGAGAACCGGGAAUGGGCGCACGCUUGGACCGCGCUACAAAGGAUCAUUACUCGGCAAUCCCUCCGGGGUGCGCUUUGUUCUGGCCCUAGCGGCUCUUGCGGUGUGCUUCUGACCUAUCAACUAGACGGCAGCGUAACGGACAUGCUAUGGUACAACGGGUACAGG